rnacentral:rRNA from 1 species
AGAGUUUGAUCCUGGCUCAGAACGAACGCUGGCGGCGUGGCUAAGACAUGCAAGUCGAACGGACUGGUCAAUUUAUUGAACAGUUAGUGGCGAAAGGGUUAGUAACGGAUGGGUAACGUACCCUGUGCUUUGGGAUAGCGUCAGUUACUUCGGUAACUUUCCGAAAGGGGCGGUAAUACCAGAUAAUAUCAUUUGUCGAUAGGCGAAUGAUCAAAGAUUUAUCGGCGCAGGAGCGGCCUGUCUCCUAUCAGCUUGUUGGUGAGGUAAUGGCUCACCAAGGCAACGACGGGUAGCGGGACUGAGAGGUUGACCCGCAACAUCGGGACUGAGACACUGCCCGGACCUCCACGGAGGGCUGCAGUAACGGAUAUUGUGCAAUGGGCGAAAGCCUGACACAGCGACGCCGCGUGUAGGAGGAAGUCUUUCGGGAUGUAAACUACUGUCAGGGGGAAGAAAGUGCGCUUCGGCGUAUUGAUCUACCCCAGAGGAAGUCACGGCUAACUUCGUGCCAGCAGCCGCGGUAAGACGAAGGUGGCAAGCGUUGUUCGGUAUUACUGGGCUUAAAGCGUGUGUAGGCGGAAAAGUAAGCGUCUUGUGAAAUCCCCCGGCUUAACCGGGGAAUUGCGUGACGAACUACUUUUCUUGAGGCAAGUAGGGGUGCAUGGAACUCUUGGUGGAGCGGUGGAAUGCGUAGAUAUCAAGAGGAACGCCAGUGGAGAAAUCGGUGCACUGGGCUUGUUCUGACGCUGAGACACGAAAGCGUGGGGAGCGAACGGGAUUAGAUACCCCGGUAGUCCACGCCGUAAACGAUGCCUACUAGGUUGUGGUGGUUCUGACACCAGCACAGCCGAAGCAAAAGUGCUAAGUAGGCCGCCUGGGGAGUACGGUCGCAAGGCUAAAACUCAAAGGAAUUGACGG